CUGAUUAUCUCUAAGUGUACAUGUGGAAUAGAUGGAAGACUGGGUGGUGCAUUCUUUUCUUUUUGAAAAAUUUUGGGCACCAAAUCCUUGAGGGGCCACCUCCUCUUAUGUGUCAUGGUAUGGAGGAGAGAGAGUGGGGUCCACGCCACAUCUCUUUUGGCUAGAGAUCCCUUUGUGGGGUAACUACCUGACAAAUAUUCCUUGAUGCCUCUUGUAUAUACUUUAAGGGG
rnacentral:lncRNA from 1 species